UAAAUUAAGUCGAUUUCAGCACCACCAAGGACACAAUCAAACCGACCGUCCCUAAAGUAAGUGGCAAAGGGCUUGGUGGUUGGUACCUGAGACCCAAUUUCGAAUCCUAAUUGAUUCAUAUUUUCAGCUAAGUUUAUUUGUAAAUAAAAUAAACGAAGCGGAUAGCGUGCUACCUAUCUCUCAAAAAAAAAAAAAAAAAAAAAAAAAAAAAAAAGGACACAAUCAAUUAGUUACGUUAUUUUGAAAAAAUAAAAUUAUAUUUAUGACAAACUAAAUAAAAAAUAAAAAACGAAUAGAUAAAAAUAUACAGAACUUACAUGAAUAAUAAACUAUUUUAAAUUAGCUAUUUAAUUUUUAAAAAUUUUGAUUUUACUAUUCAACCUUUAAAUUUAUUUAAUUUGAGUCAAUCAACAGUAGUUUGACUUCAAUAUUUAAGUUAUUACUUACUUUAAUAAAUUUAUAGCAAUAUAUAAAAAUUGCAUAAAGCAUAUAAACUAAACCUAUAAAAAUAAAUAACACAUUCAAAUUUUGAAGUUGAAAUAUUGUUCCUUGACUGACAUCGAACAAAUUAAAAGAUUUCGCAGUAUAAUCAAAUUUUCAAAAUAUUAGAUAACUAAUUCCAAAUGGUUUAUAGCCCAGAUAAGUUAUGUAUGUUUAUCAUAAAAAUUGAUGCAUGCCUAAAUCGCGCUGAGAGAAAAGAAGGAUAAGAAUGGAAAGAGGGAAAGAGGGAUA
rnacentral:lncRNA from 1 species